rnacentral:rRNA from 1 species
GUCAAUAAUGGGAAAGCAUGUGCUUUUCUAACUCACAUGGGUCGUGAUCCUAACUCAGCUCAUAACUUUGCUGUUAGAUGUUUUGAAAAUCUUAAGAAUAGCAUGUCUCAUAUAGACAAGGUAAUGGUGAAGCAAUGUGAGAAAAGAGUGGCAGAUGCGAGACUAAGACUCAAGACUACAAUUGAUGUCAUCAGGUAA